CCAUCUCCCAACAGUGCACGAGGCUGCUCUACCUGACCCUGACUACACUAUGAUUGUGGAUGGUUCUAGAUUCGCAGAUGUGCAGGGACAAUAUCAUACCAGAUAUGCAGUCACCACAGAGGACCAAAUACUCCAAGCAUCUUCACUCCCAUCAUCUAAGUCAGCACAAGAAGCCAAACUAACAGCCCUUGCGGUGGCAUGCAAGAUGUCUGAAGGGAAGC